rnacentral:rRNA from 1 species
UACGUAGGGUGCGAGCGUUGUCCGGAAUUAUUGGGCGUAAAGAGCUCGUAGGCGGUCUGUCGCGUCGAUCGUGAAAACUUAGGGCUUAACCCUGAGCUUGCGGUCGAUACGGGCAUGACUGGAGUUCGGCAGGGGAGACUGGAAUUCCUGGUGUAGCGGUGAAAUGCGCAGAUAUCAGGAGGAACACCGGUGGCGAAGGCGGGUCUCUGGGCCGAUACUGACGCUGAGGAGCGAAAGCGUGGGGAGCGAACAGG